CCUACGGGUGGCAGCAGUGGGGAAUAUUGGGCAAUGGGCGCAAGCCUGACCCAGCAACGCCGCGUGAAGGAAGAAGGCUUUCGGGUUGUAAACUUCUGUUGUCAGGGAAGAGUAGAAGACGGUACCUGACGAAUAAGCCACGGCUAACUACGUGACAGCAGGCGGGGUAAUACGUAGGUGGCAAGCUUUGUCCGGAUUUACUGGGUGUAAAGGGCGUGUAGACGGGUUGGCAAGUCAGAUGUGAAAGCCUGCGGCUUAACCGCAGAACUGCAUUUGAAACUGUUGAUCUUGAGUACUGGAGAGGCAGAUGGAAUUCCUAGUGUAGCGGUGAAAUGCGUAGAUAUUAGGAGGAACACCAGUGGCGAAGGCGGUCUGCUGGACAGCAACUGACGGUGAGGCGCGAAAGCGUGGGGAGCAAACAGGAUUAGAUACCCUAGUAGUC
rnacentral:rRNA from 1 species